GCUCAAACAAUCCUUCCUCCCUCUACUCAAUAGGAUUCCUUAGAGUCAGCCUAGUGCUUGGCUGUGGGUGGAUCUCUGCAUCUGUUUCCAUCCGUUAUUCUACAAAGGCUCUCUGAUGACAAUUGGGGUAGUCACCAAUCUGAUUACAGGAGAUGGCCAGUUCAGGCUACCUAUCCACUAUUGCUGCGAGUCCUAGCCAGUGCCAGCCAAUCUAACCUACCAGCUGCCAGGUGACCCCGACUGACCUUUAGGCCUACCUCAGCAAAUGUGGCUGUUUUGCUGUCCUGAUCAAAUGACAGAUUUGAAAACAAAUGCCAGUGGGGGUUUUAAGCCCUGGAUGUAAAGUGGACAUCACCAUUUCCCAGGUUUCUGAUGAGGCAUGAGACAGUGCAGUUCACCAUAAAAAGACAUUGAUUUAAGGCAGGCAAUGAUUGCACACGCCUUUAAUCCCAGCACUCAGGAGAAGAGGCAGGCAGAUCUCUGAGUUCGAGGAUAGCCUAGUUUGCAGAGUGAGUUCCAGGACAGCCAGGGCUACCCAGAGAAACUCUGUCUCAAAAAGAAAAAAAUAAAUGAACAGAUGAUAGAUAGAUACUGACGUGAGGGACACCAACCAGACUGUCCAUGCCAAUAUAGAAAUAGCAUUUCUGUUCUUUAAUAAGCAAUCUUGUCUCUUCUUUGUUCCAGAAACUUCCCCUUCUUACCCAGGUCUCUAUGAAACUCCACAGGAAGGCAGCCAACACUGCCUGCCCCUCAAUGGAAAGAGAGUCCACCUAUCCACCAGCAGAUGGAGAUAAAUACCAGAGGCAUAACCCAGACCUUUUCGGGAUCCGCAGCCUUUCUUCUUCAGCAGAAGGAAGCCCUGCUGUUGUUCAUUUACCUACCUGGGUCCCCUGCGGCAGCUCUGCAACACAGACAUUGCGGUCACCAGCACAGCGUACAGACCCAAAGCCUGUUAAAUCGCAGCAGAGAAAAGCAAAGAGGAAGGAGCCAGCCCCAAGGAACAUCUUUACAUACCAGUCCCUUCCAAUCAAGGGUUACUAAUAAUUCUCCAGAUGGUGAUGAGUGGGUAUUCAACCCGUUUCCGAUACACAAACAAAGCUCAAUUUUGGCUCAUCCCAGAUUCAAAUCCAGGUCUGACUAACUCCAAAGACUAUCUUUGAGGCUGCUUGAAGCCUUUGAUGAAAAACUAGCUUGUUUCUAUAAAAAUGGACAGCUCUGUGCAAUGAUGGAGUCGUAAUGUAUCGACCCAUAUACAAAGGGAGCCGAGAAUAUCACUAAAAAGACAUAUAUUGCUUGGUAAAACUGAUUACCAACAAGCUAAGAUGCAUAUGCAUGAAUUAUUCAUGGGCUAGAGGCCACUGCACCUUUCUUCUUCCUAUUUUGUGCUUUCCAGGAAAAUGUUCUUUCUGACUUAUACUUCCCCUAGUAAUGGAUGUGGGAAGGAUCUUGAAGGUUACCUAUUCAGAUACUGGGGUGUGGCUGAGUUUAGAGCUGUCCCUACAACACUGUGGAAGAGAUCUUACGCUGGCAGACCUUAUAGAUUAAUUUCUUCAGGAAGCUAUAGCCCACUGGGAUCUUACCCAAAGGAAUGGGGCAAGUUGGUUGGUCGAUCACGCCCUGUCUGCAGAUAGCUGGCACGACCAUAACAGCCAUGAGGAAGAAGCAAUGGAUGCCUCUCGGAGAGUCUGUUUAUUCUCUCCAGGCCAGAAGCCUAACAGACAAAGUAAGAGGCCCUUCUCCAGGAUUCCACUCAGUACCAGGGAGCAGAGUCGGGGGGCUGAAAACACAAAGCCCGAAAGAGGGAGAAAGAAACACCACCCACUGGGGAAAGCCAAACCUUGAUGUCAGAUACCAAGUCCCAGAUAGGUCUGUUCUGUGGUGAAAAAGACAGUUUUUUGCAUUUGCAAAGCUGUUUUGUAAAGCCAGGCUUGUAGCUCAUAUCUGUCUUCCCAGUGCUCAGGAGGCUGAGACAGGAAGGCUAACAUCUGUUUGAGGCCAACCUCGACGACACAGUGAGAUAAUGAUGGUGAUGACGAUGGUGAUUUUGAAGUUCACCUUCUCUUUCCCAAAGCAACAGUGUAUAACUUAGAUUACAGUAUAACUCAGAGAUUUGAAGGAGAUGCUUCAUAGUAUGGGUGAUUUUGCUCGGCAGCACGCCUGUUUAUCUCCUGACCAAAUAUGCCUGUUCCUUAUACAUUUGAAAUAAAUUCCUUGC
rnacentral:lncRNA from 1 species